GAACGGUUAGCCGUUGAAGAACAAACAAGGGAACAGGCAAACUCUCAAAUUUGGCACGUUGAACGUAGAAAUCGGCUCACCGCGUCAAAUUUUUGCUGCGUUUGUAUACUUCGGCCAACUACAUCGUGCAAAAAUACUGUUUAUAGUAUAAUGUAUAGGAAAUUUUCUUCAUAAGCAACAGAUUAUGGUAAAGCCACUGAACCACAAGCUAUCGUCGCAUUGGAAAAAAAAUUAAAUUGUAAAGUGAAUCAAUGUGGACUUAUUAUUGAUGAACAUUUUCCUUAUUUAGCAGCUUCUCCUGACGGUCUUGUCAAUGAUGAUUUUAUUGUUGAAAUUAAAUGCCCAUUUGGAGUAAAAGACACUAA